rnacentral:rRNA from 1 species
UACGUAGGGGGCAAGCGUUGUCCGGAAUCAUUGGGCGUAAAGAGCGUGUAGGCGGCUCGAUAAGUCUGCUGUGAAAGUCCAGGGCUCAACCCUGGAAGGCCGGUGGAAACUGUCGGGCUAGAGUCCGGAAGAGGCGAGUGGAAUUCCUGGUGUAGCGGUGAAAUGCGCAGAUAUCAGGAAGAACACCAAUGGCGAAGGCAGCUCUCUGGGACGGUACUGACGCUGAGACGCGAAAGCGUGGGGAGCGAACAGG